rnacentral:rRNA from 1 species
CAAUACACUUGUAAAGCGGCGAACGGGUGAGGAAUGCAUGGGUAACCUACCCUCGAGUGGGGAAUAACUAGCCGAAAGGUUAGCUAAUACCGCAUACGUUUCCGGGACCUCGGUUCCGGAAAGAAAGCAAUACCGUGGGUAUUGCGCUCAUGGAUGGGCUCAUGUCCUAUCAGCUUGUUGGUGAGGUAACGGCUCACCAAGGCUUCGACGGGUAGCUGGUCUGAGAGGACGAUCAGCCACACUGGCACUGCGACACGGGCCAGACUCCUACGGGAGGCAGCAAGUAAGGAAUAUUGCGCAAUGGACGAAAGUCUGACGCAGCGACGCCGCGUGGGGGAUGAAGGUCUUCGGAUUGUAAACCCCUUUCGGGAGGGAAGAGGAGUGGGUAACCACUGGCGGUCCUCCAAACAGCCACGGCU